AUGAAGGUGUUUGUGGCCACGUUCGUAUGGUGGGCGGCAACGACAACACUAAGCUUCGUGGAGACGGCGUACGCGUAUGAAGUCGAAAUCACGACCGGGUUCCAUGCCGGCGUCCACAUGAUGGCGGGGCAUUCGACGGGCCUAUGGGCACGCUUGCGCGGGCCUUCUCGCCUAUCAAUGGGCGGUUCUGGUUCCACCUGGAUGCAGCUGCCGCGGAAGGAGGCGCUGCGGGGGCAGGAGGUGCUCAACGCCGCGAGCUACCCCUCCGACGUCGUCGAGUUGGCCAAGAAAUUCCAUGCAGGCGUCAAAACCCUAAUCCUCUGCAGCGGGGAGGUCGACCACCUCACGAACGUCAUCAACACGCUCUCGAUCGCUCUCCGGCCCGGGUGUCGACCUGGACAUCUUCUUGAAGGUGCUCCAGGUCGAUGUGGCCAUGCCAUGGACGUGGACGGUGCUGUUGUGCCCCCCUGGAAGCGCGUGGGGAGCUCCGGCGUCGGCCAGGCCAGAGACGGCGACGGCGAGGCCGCGUCUCACUCCCACGACCAGGCCGCCGUUGACCGCGAGCACCGCCACAAGCGCUGGACCUUGGCGUGCAAGCGGCACACCGGCUCCUUCCCUCCGCCGGCAGGGCCCGACCGCUCUGUAGUAAUGGCGAUGGCCAGGCGUGAAGGCCGAGAGGAAGAUGGAUCGGAGCCGGAGGCGCAGAAGAGCGAGUUGAUGCAGCAGCAGGUGGCGAGGAAAAGCGUGAGACCUGGAGACCCGAAUCUGUUUCCACGCUCGAGGAGCAGAUCAGAUGCGCAAGCUGAUCCCAUCCCAUCGCAUCCCUUCUCCCAAGAAAAGAAAGGAAAGACAGAUCUGUACACGUUGUCUUCCCUGCGAUCUCUGGAGGACGAGAUCAUGGCAACAUAUGCGCUCUUCCUCCCCUACUGGCAUCCACGUCUCCACAUCCUCCUCCGCAUCCCUCUCCAGGAAUCGUCUCUCACGUCAUGGCCGGCGCCAGGAAUCGUUUCCCACGUCGUGGCAGGCCGGACAGCCGGUGCUGAUUAUGUGUCAAUCAAUACUCACCACGUAGAGAUGAUGAGGGACGAAAGGAUAACCAUGAUCGCCUUGCCACUCUUGCUCGGCGAGAAAAUUUAUCUUCCAUCUAAAGAAAGAUUAGAGAAACUACUCCAGGCUGAUAGGAGAUUAGAGGAACUACUCCAGGCUGAUAGUGCAGUGAUUCGCUCAUAUCCUCAUAAUGUUGGAAAGGAGUGGAGGAGAACUAGCUGCAUCUCCAGCGGCAAGCAGCAAGGAGCAAAAGUGAGGGAAGAGGUCAUUGCUGCAUUGAUUAAGAGCAAGGAGCAAGGAGCAAAAGUUUCUGAAGCUCAUUUGCUUAGUUGCAAACUUUCUGAGACGGGCCUCAUCUAUCUUAGCGUCCUGCUCAGAGAUCUCCUUCACAUGCACGUCUCAGUAGCAAAAACAGAUCCAUUAACUUGGCGUGCAGCUGAGCAUGGAGCAGCUGGAAGUCCUUCCUAUUCCAACAUAAUAUUGCCUAAUUCCACUACACCACCAUCAGUCCACGACCAGGCUGAGACUUACCUUGAACUCGACGUGGACGGAGAAAAAGAAGUACAGCAAGACACCCUGUGGCAGUUGUUUGGCGAGUACCCAGUUAUGUCCGUCAUAACACACCACAUGUCAAUUUGUGCCCUCAUCUGCACCUUUAGUGGACGCAAGGCGCAGCGCCAAGCACGAUGGUACAGUAAGUUACCUAUUGGGCUCAUCCCAAUCAAAGAUGAAAAUAUUUUGAUCGGGACCAAAGUUCAGAACCACAAGAAAACUGGGAUGGAGGGUCAAGGGUAG
rnacentral:rRNA from 1 species